rnacentral:rRNA from 1 species
GACGAACGCUGGCGGCGUGCCUAACACAUGCAAGUCGAGCGAAUAAAGUUCCUUCGGGAACGGAUUUAGCGGCGGACGGGUGAGUAACACGUGGGCAACCUGCCUCAUAGAGGGGAAUAGCCUUCCGAAAGGGAGAUUAAUACCGCAUAAGAUUGUAGUAUCGCAUGGUACAGCAAUUAAAGGAGCAAUCCGCUAUGAGAUGGGCCCGCGGCGCAUUAGCUAGUUGGUGAGGUAACGGCUCACCAAGGCGACGAUGCGUAGCCGACCUGAGAGGGUGAUCGGCCACAUUGGGACUGAGGCACGGCCCAGACUCCUACGGGAGGCAGCAGUGGGGAAUAUUGCACAAUGGGGGAAACCCUGAUGCAGCAACGCCGCGUGAGUGAUGACGGCCUUCGGGUUGUAAAGCUCUGUCUUCAGGGACGAUAAUGACGGUACCUGAGGAGGAAGCCACGGCUAACUACGUGCCAGCCGCCGCGGUAA